AUGAACGCUAGCGGCAGGCUUAACACAUGCAAGUCGAGGGGCAUCGGGAGGGAAGCUUGCUUUCCUUGCCGGCGACCGGCGCACGGGUGAGUAACACGUAUGCAACCUGCCCUCUUCAGGGGGACAACCUUCCGAAAGGGAGGCUAAUCCCGCGUAUAUCGGUUUCGGGCAUCCGAGAUCGAGGAAAGAUUCAUCGGAAGAGGAUGGGCAUGCGGCGCAUUAGCUUGACGGCGGGGUAACGGCCCACCGUGGCGACGAUGCGUAGGGGUUCUGAGAGGAAGGUCCCCCACACUGGUACUGAGACACGGACCAGACUCCUACGGGAGGCAGCAGUGAGGAAUAUUGGUCAAUGGGAGAGAUCCUGAACCAGCCAAGCCGCGUGAGGGAAGACGGCCCUAUGGGUUGUAAACCUCUUUUGUCGGAGAACAAAACCCGGGACGUGUCCCGGACUGCGUGUAUCCGAAGAAAAAGCAUCGGCUAACUCCGUGCCAGCAGCCGCGGUAAUACGGAGGAUGCGAGCGUUAUCCGGAUUUAUUGGGUUUAAAGGGUGCGUAGGCGGUCCGUUAAGUCAGCGGUAAAAUUGCGGGGCUCAACCCCGUCGAGCCGUUGAAACUGGCAGACUUGAGUUGGCGAGAAGUACGCGGAAUGCGCGGUGUAGCGGUGAAAUGCAUAGAUAUCGCGCAGAACUCCGAUUGCGAAGGCAGCGUACCGGCGCCAGACUGACGCUGAGGCACGAAAGCGUGGGGAUCGAACAGGAUUAGAUACCCUGGUAGUCCACGCAGUAAACGAUGAAUGCUGGUUGUCCGGGUCGAAUGAGACCUGGGCGGCGAAGCGAAAGCGAUAAGCAUUCCACCUGGGGAGUACGCCGGCAACGGUGAAACUCAAAGGAAUUGACGGGGGCCCGCACAAGCGGAGGAACAUGUGGUUUAAUUCGAUGAUACGCGAGGAACCUUACCCGGGCUCAAACGGGAGUGGAAUGGACCAGAGACGGUUCAGCCUACGGGCCGCUUCCGAGGUGCUGCAUGGUUGUCGUCAGCUCGUGCCGUGAGGUGUCGGCUUAAGUGCCAUAACGAGCGCAACCCCCGCCGGCAGUUGCUAACGGGCAAUGCCGAGGACUCUGCCGGGACUGCCGCCGCAAGGCGUGAGGAAGGCGGGGAUGACGUCAAAUCAGCACGGCCCUUACGUCCGGGGCGACACACGUGUUACAAUGGGCGGUACAGCGGGAAGCCAGGCGGCGACGCCGAGCGGAACCCGAAAGCCGUUCUCAGUUCGGAUCGGAGUCUGCAACCCGACUCCGUGAAGCUGGAUUCGCUAGUAAUCGCGCAUCAGCCAUGGCGCGGUGAAUACGUUCCCGGGCCUUGUACACACCGCCCGUCAAGCCAUGGGAGCCGGGGGUGCUUGAAGUGCGUCGCCGCGAGGCGCGCCCUAGAGCAAAACCGGUGAAUGG
rnacentral:rRNA from 1 species